AUAAAUAAAUAUAUAUAAAUAAAUCACGCAUACAACGAUAAUUAACGUGCAAUGCACUUCAAAACUAAUCAACUGAUUUUGAUAAGAUUAUGCUCAAUGUGUGUGAUUUGGUCCAAUUUAAAUAUAGGAUAGUUGUUAUCUCAUUAAGUUGCCAUUAUAUUUUUUUAUUGAAUAUUUAAGAAAAGAUUUUAGAUUUACGAUUGAAAUGUUUGUUUAUAAAUGGUUGCUAUUGGUUACAGUCUACAGUAUUAUUAUAAUUAAUUGCUAUUGGUUACAAAAAUAAAAUUAACCAUAUAUCACUAACCACUGUAUGACUGUGUUAAAAAUCUUUAUUAGAGAUUAAUAUGGGGGAAAUCCACGGUAAGUUUUGAAAAUCACUACGCCUGGUAUAAAUGACGAAUUGAAGGCAAAUUUUGAAUCAUAUAGAGUCGGUAUUUUAACGGACAACGAAGUUCACAAGAUCAGCUAGUAUAAUAUAAGCAAAACUUUUACUUGUUACUAACAUAACUUUUGUGAGCCAAAACAAAAAUGCAUUUUGAGCCACUCUAUAACGAGUAACAACUUAUAAAAGUUGAAAAAGAAUCUAAAAUUCCUCUCACCCAGUUUCGAGAAAUCUAUUUAUAUAACUUUUACCCCAAUCGGUCAAGUCGUUCAGAAGUUACUCGAUCACGAUUCACGACAGACACAUAGAAAAAUCUAUUUAUAUUAUACUUUAUAUCUCUAACUAAUCUUUAUAUUACUAUAAUCUGUAUAUUAUAAUUUUUCUGAGCAUCUGUUGUGAUUUAACAAAAGUUAUAAUUUAUAUCAAUAGAUUCCUAGAGACUUGGGGACCUUAUUUUUGUCACCACUAUACGUUUCUAUCGGGUGGCUAACAGUAUCACACAUUGAUUUGAUUUUGGCUCACGCAAAUUGAUUAUUUUUUUGUUUAUUUAAAUGGAUGCAAUUGGUUGCAGAUAAUAAAAUAGUUAUUAUGAUUGGAUAUGAUAUUGUCUGUAUUGUACAGUCGAACUUGGUUAGCUCAAACUUUUUUAACUCAAAAUCGUCGAUACCUCGAAUUUUUUCCGGGUCCCUUGAAUUUCCCAUUAAUGUACUAUCCUUGGAUAAACUCGAACUUUUUGGCCGGUCUCUUCAACUUCGUGUUAACCAAGUGUCCAAGCCCGACUCUAUUAUAUUUUGUUAUUUAGGCUAAAAGCUAUUCUGUACCUAUAGAUAUAAAAUUUAGUAACUGUAACAGCUAUUAUUUACUAUUAGAGGCAAGUGUAUGGUGAUGUUAAUUGAAAAAAUACUGAAAAAAUAUUCGACCUAUUUUGAAAAAAAAUAAUUAAGAUUAUUUCAACAGAAGCAAAACGCAAAUGAUAGAUGGAUAUAUUAUAAUAUAAAGUCAUUUAUAAUACAGAUAUUACUAUUCGGGUAACGGGUUAUUUUUACAUAUGCAAAUCCAGUUUUUGACCAAUUAAAAUUAAAAAAAAAUUCAAAGUGUGCUUAUAGGACCAAACAAUACUCUAUACUGAAGGUUAUAGAUAAUAUAUUGAACUUAUCUAAUAAUUUUAUGGUGCCUUAAGCCAGUUUAAUUACCUGUUAUUAAUAAUAUUAAGAUUAUAACCACAUAUUAGUAAAGUUACUAGCUGAUACGGCAAUGCUUUGCUAUUGCUAGGUUUUUGUGUUUUUUCAACUCCUUUUGGAUGUAACACGCUGUGGAACUGUGGAAAAAAUGCCUUUUGCUGUAAAUUAUAUUAUAGCCAUCAAGACAGCGUUAUCCGUGAGAUUCGCUUGUGAUUAUGCGAGCAGUAUAUUAUCAAGAAGGCCAUCUUUCUGCGGUAGAUCGCGGAUGCCGCGUGGUGCGUAUAUGGCGUUGUAAUACCGCAGACAAAAGAAGCAAACAAAAAUUAGUUCAGCUAGAAGCUUAUUGAAACUGCCGUCUAUAAUAUCCAAAUCCUUAAACCCAAAAACCUAUUAACAAUUAUUAGCCUGUAAAGUAUAAACUAAUGAUUAAAGUCGAUUUCCACUGAUCCGGGCCGGGUCCGUAACACGAAACGGCACGUCCAGGUUAACUGCCUGUCCCGGCAUUCACACUAGUCCGGGCCCCGUCUGAGCUUACAAUAUUUAAUUUACAACUUACAAAUUACAAUUCAAUUAUCUGUCGCGAUCCUUGUGCAUAUGUGUGUAUUAUGUAUAUAAUAUAUUAGUGCGAAAUUUUUAAACUAAAUUUAAUUAUAAAAUUAUACUCGCGUAUUAAAGGCGUUUCAAAUAAGUACUAAAUAUAAUAUAAUAAGUAAUAAAAAAUAAUCAUCUUAUAAUAGUUCAUAAAUUAUUUUUAACAGUAUUUUUUGUUAGUUAUUGCCAAAACUAUUACCAUUGUGCAAUGGAUUUUUGAAUUUUUCUAAUGAAGAACUUACCAUGAUAGCGAUCCUAGUUGAUGAAGACGAAUUUUCAAUACGAAAUCCCUGAAAGUAUUGGUUUCAUUCAGCUUGGAAGAAACGCGAGACCUAAGGAGAAUUCCAAACUCUAUGCAAGGAACUUAUAGGCGAUGAAGUAAAAUUUUACAAAUAUUUUAGGAUGUCAAUGAACACCUUUCAUGUUUUGCUAAAAAAAAAAUAGAAUAUGGUAUACAAAAGCAGGAUAAAAAUUUCAGAAAAUGUAUACCUCCAAAGCGCCGUUUAGCUGUAUGUUUAAAUAUGAACAGUAAUUUACAAUAAAAUAACCCGAUGCACUGAUGCAGUCUCCGAGAAAUUAAAAAUUCUACAAGACAAUGGUUACAAUGUUAUAAGAAUUUAAUGACAGAUUUCAACUGGAUCGGGACCGACCAAGAUACUUGCCGGUCGGCUUCCAAUAGGGAUUGGCGGAUUGCUAUAUUGUUAAAAUUUAGCGAGGGUGGAAUACGUUUACGACGUAGAAUGAACAAGACGCUUACACUUUUGGAGGAAUUUAUUGGUAUUUUCUAAUUAUUGUACCAAGAUAAUACAUUAAAAACGAUUUUUUAAAUUAA
rnacentral:lncRNA from 1 species